UCAAUUAUAUUACUAAAGGGCAGUGCUGCCAAGCUAUUCUGUCUCUAAAGACAAGUUUAGUCAUGCUGCAUUUGAUCAACCUGUAAAUGGUUGCAGCUUCUUUCUUUUAGUCUUUUAUGUUUCUAUGGUGACUAAUUAUAACUUGCCAUUUAUUUGAACCUUGGAAGAAAUAACAUAUGUACUACUUUUCUAUUUUUAAUGAUCUGGGUGUUCAGAAGUUAUGGAUGACAACAGUUCUGAAGUCAAGAGGAUAAGGAGAAAUAUUAUGAAGUUCAGGAUCACAUACUUAUUUUGAAAUUUCAAGGAUUUGCGACUCUCCCUUUUUGGGAAGUUGAUUUUCUGCUGCAUUGAACCAAUGGCAAAUUCUUGAGUCCAUUGGGUGCCCCAAGGUGUGCUGUGCCUACAACAUUUUGUGAAUGGGCAAUUUAUCCAUCCUGAUAUAACCUGUUCCAUUCUACCCUUGCGCUGAGUUCCAUGCUACCUUAGUGGCACUGUUCAGAAGUAUGAUUUGAUGGCUCAUGGUGAACAAGAGCAUUCAAUGUCAAGGAGGCAGAUGGUACGGGAAAAUUGGGCAGAACGAAUACCCCUCCUAGUUUUCUCAUACGAUGAGG